AUGANGGAUUCCUAGUGCUAGCACAUUUGUGUUANCUUUUCUUCAGCAUANAACACUGANNGAAUAAGGGCUGGGUAAGACGGGUGCCAGCCGCCGCGGU
rnacentral:rRNA from 1 species